AGGUCUCCGUAGAUGACCUGCGCAGUGAUCUUACUGAGUGAGGCUCACGCCCGACCUCCAACCCUUUGUGAACACAUCUUGUUGCUUCGGGGGCGACCCUGCCGGCACUACGUCGCCGGGCGCCCCCGAAGGACUCCAAACACUGCAUCUUUGCGUCGGAGUUUAAAACAAAUUAAACAAAACUUUCAACAACGGAUCUCUUGGUUCUGGCAUCGAUGAAGAACGCAGCGAAAUGCGAUAAGUAAUGUGAAUUGCAGAAUUCAGUGAAUCAUCGAAUCUUUGAACGCACAUUGCGCCCUUUGGUAUUCCGAAGGGCAUGCCUGUUCGAGCGUCAUUUCACCACUCAAGCCUGGCUUGGUAUUGGGCGUCGCGGCUCCGCGCGCCUUAAAGUCUCCGGCUGAGCCAUUCGUCUCUAAGCGUUGUGGAUUUUCUAAUUCGCUUCGGAGUGCGGGUGGCCGCGGCCGUUAAAUCUUUAUUCAAAGGUUGACCUCGGAUCAGGUAGGGAUACCCGCUGAACUUAAGCAUAUCAAUAAG
rnacentral:rRNA from 1 species